CCUUUCCUUGUAAUGUCCUUACGUCAGCUUGCAACAUUGCAAUAUUUCCUCUGCUGGGGCGGGCGGCGGCGGGGGAGGCGAGGCGAGGCGAGGCGAGGCGAGGCCAGGCGGCAGCUCCGCUUUGCUCCGCUCCGAGCCGGCACACAAUCUCAUGUUACACCGAACCUUGACACAAGGAAGCUACUUCAUCGGGCAUCAGCAUUGUACUGACAAUAAAAUUGUGUCUUCAGCAUGGCUCACCAGAAUCUGCAGGGUUCAUAAAACCUGAACUUUGACCAUCCUAUCAGAUGUCAAUAAAAACUUACCAGCAUUUUGUACAAGACUUUAAGAUUUCAAAUGCUUUUUUUUUUUUUUUUGAGGAAAAGAUUCUAAUAAUUCAGAAAAUCACGAGUAGUCCUCCAGCACCACCACCCUUCCUGGUAUUCCUGUGCCACUGCUGCAGCCAGGGGGGAGCCCCAGAGAGGGCAGUGGGAUCAAAGAGCAAUCAUCUGCCUUGCAGCAUCACCCUGACCACAUCCUGCAGCCUUUCAGGUGUGCUGGCAGAUGUGCUUGUUGAAGAAUCUACUCGAGACUACUGCAUUAGUAGCAGAGGGAUUACAACCCGCUUCCUGUGCCCACAGCCUCUGGUCCAAGGGUGAAGACACGCACCCACGCGUGUACCUCCACUGAGUGGAUUCACCACAUUGUUCAGCUCCCCCUAACCUGUGAGUGUGCAGCCUGUGCUCAGCCCCAGAGUUGCUACUGCUGCAUCACCCCAAUUCUCAGUUGCCAAACUGUUCAUCCACACUGCAGAGAGCAAGAAGAAAAAAAGUGUUGGUUCUGAAUUAGAUUCUCAUGUUCCUGCUCAAACUGUACCUGCAGACUCCCCCAGAGACUUCCACAAGCAUCUACCAGCUGCCGAGAGCUUGUCCUCCUCUUGCCUCAGCAUCUGCCUCUGCCAGCCCCAUGUCGUUUUUGCCCGAGAAGACAGGUUCUGGCCUCCCGGGGGCAGUGCCAGGCACUGAAAUGGGCCAUGAAGGAAGUGCUCCGGGUAACAGGCACAAACGUAAUGCAAGCCGAACUUUCACCAUAAUUUCUGGAAACAGUCAAUGCAUCGCUUUGUAUUUGGGGCAAUGAUCUAGUCCAUUUGCUGUACUUUCACAUCCUGACUUCAGUCAUGCUUGUGUGGAUAGCUAGUUGCACUCCAGCUACACAUGACAAAUUUUGCAGGUUUAGUUACACUAAGGAAAGGCGUGAAGUCACUGUACUUCCAGCACAUGGCACACAGGUAAUAUCUAUGUAGGCAACAUCAGACAAGAUUUAUUUUUGUUGACAUCGAUUAUUGCAUGGCAGUGACUGGUUUAUGCUAUAGCAGUGGAAUACAUCCUCUCUGCUGUUGCAAGAGGGGGCAACUGGUGCCUUGUAACUUCACCAGAGCAAGAGAUGGAACACACACUCCACAGUGGGAGAAUAGUACUGCAUGGUUGCUGGGCAGGAAGGGACACAGUCCCAAGAGCUCAGCAACAGAAUCCCCAGCAUAGCUGCUGUUAUACCAGGAAAACUGCUCCUCUCCAGCUCACUUCACUUCUGAAGGGAGAGAGGAAGAAUGAUUGCUGCAAUUUGCACAAAACACAGCUGCGCUGCUAUAAACUGCAUCUAUAGUAAGAGCACAGAGCUGUUAAUACUGCUCAUGUAGACACAACAUGAGAUCAAAAACGCUCAGGGCAAGACUGUUUUUAACAAUGUGUGUCAGGCACUAGAGUAAACAGAUGAACAUUUAGAUAGAGACAGCAGACAAUAAGGGCGUGCCUAGACAGAAAAGCUAUUCUGAUAUCAACCUAGGUAUAAACGUAUAACUACUCGUGUUAUGUCAGUACGAUCCAUUAUGUGAUCCAUAAUGCUCACAUAACAGAAUAAUUUGCUCUCAGCUACAAGGAGCUGGGAUACAAGCAGUGCUGAUCAUCUUGUAUGUCAAACAUAAUACUGAUGCACCACUGCAAGCACCUGGGGAUGGCCUUUUUCUUUUUAAACAACUGUCCUUGUUAUUUCUGUCAAAUAUUUGCAUCUCAUUAGCUAUCUUGCAUUUAAGAGUGGGCAUCUGAAACAGCUGUAUAAAAUAAAAAGGACACAGCAUUACUCUGAUUAAGUGUGCUAUUUCCCAGGAAUGGCAGCAUAUGAAAGUUUUGCUUUGUUUUCUUUCUGUCUUUCAGGAGGACAUAGUGUAUGUAGUCUGCUAACUCAAUCACUUUAUUUGGGCAUAGGAAAACUUUUAUUUACAACAUGUAAUUAAAAAAUAUUUGACAAAAAAGGCAUACAGUAUUUUAUACUAAAAGAAUAAAGAUUUUUAUUAAGCACUGUAAGUUGCAUUCAAUAGCCUUCAAAUACACCACACCACAAUCCAUCUACAACCAAUCAAACCCAACAGUAGUUCAUUCUUGCACAAUCCAUGAGUUGGGGCAGAACUCCCUUCAACUUACAUUAAGAUACCUACUUAGCUCUUGCGGGCAGGGAAUGGGGAAUUACACCUCAUUUCUGAUCACUAAUGUGUGAUGAAGAGCAUCAGGAGAAUUAUAUGAAAACGAAUAUAAAGAAAUGAUUCUGAUUUUGAAGUACAUUAAGUUUGGAAACACUAACAAAAACAUCAAAAUGAUACAGGUAUAUUUGCUUAUACUAAAUUCUUGAUGGGAAAGUUCUCAAGAACAAGCCAUUUGUUUCCUGCUACAGAAGGGGGGUACUUUUUUUUUUUUUGAAGAUCAAAGCUUUUUUUUUUUGUUUUUCACAGAAUUUCAUAUUUGCUAAUAUGAAGGCAUAAAACAGCAACAGAGAACAAUAAUGCAUACAGCAAUGAGUACACCAGGGUAACGUUGAUAUUCAAAACGGCUAGAUAAUUUUUUUUUUUUUAAGUUUUA